GAGUUUGAUCCUGGCUCAGAACGAACGCUGGCGGCGUGCUUAACACAUGCAAGUCGAACGUGAUCCGGAGCUUGCUCUCAUGAAAGUGGCGCACGGGUGAGUAACACGUGGAUAAUCUGCCUGGCGAUUCGGGAUAACACUUCGAAAGGGGUGCUAAUACCGGAUAAGCCCACGGGUUCUUUGGAAUCUGCGGGAAAAGGGGGGGACCUUCGGGCCUUCUGUCAUCAGAUGAGUCUGCGUACCAUUAGCUAGUUGGUAGGGUAAUGGCCUACCAAGGCUACGAUGGUUAGCUGGUCUGAGAGGAUGAUCAGCCACACUGGAACUGAGACACGGCCCAGACUCCUACGGGAGGCAGCAGUGAGGAAUAUUGCACAAUGGGGGCAACCCUGAUGCAGCAACGCCGCGUGAGUGAUGAAGCAGUUUAUCUGUGUAAAGCUCUGUUGAUUGGGACGAAAUUUAGGGUUUGCAGCCUUAAUUGACGGUACCAGUUGAGGAAGCUCCGGCUAACUCCGUGCCAGCAGCCGCGGUAAUAC
rnacentral:rRNA from 1 species